rnacentral:rRNA from 1 species
CAGUAGCCACGGUAAUACGAAGGGUGCAAGCGUUAUCCGGAUUCACUGGGUUUAAAGGGUGCGUAGGCGGGCAGGUAAGUCAGUGGUGAAAUCUUCGAGCUUAACUCGGAAACUGCCGUUGAUACUACCUGUCUUGAAUAACGUUGAGGUGAGCGGAAUAUGUCAUGUAGCGGUGAAAUGCUUAGAUAUGACAUAGAACACCGAUUGCGAAGGCAGCUCACUAAACGCUCAUUGACGCUGAGGCACGAAAGCGUGGGGAUCAAACAGGAUUAGAUACCCGAGUAGUCCCUGUCUCUUAUAC